rnacentral:rRNA from 1 species
AUGGUGGGGAUCCCUGUCAAUAAACUCACAUGGAAAGUAAUCUCACAAAUUGCAUAUAUUUUGGGCAUCCUGGUUAAUGUUGACUGGCAUGAGAUCUUCAGAUGUUUUUAUGAAAAGGUCAAAGUUCAGGUUGUUGUGAGAGAUGUGUCUAAAAUUCCCUCCGAAAGGCUAGUUGAGAUUGAUACAGAACUAUUUCUUAUCUCUUUUCUGGUGGAAACAGAAUCUGUCUUCGAGGUGGCUAACACCAGGACAGAAGAGAGAGAGAGAGAGAGAGAGAGAGAGAGAGAGAGAGAGGGAGGGAGAGAGAGAGGGAGAGGGAGAGAGAGAGAAAUCUGA